GCCCACGUAGCUCAGCAGGUAGAGCACGUUCUUGGUAAGAACGGGGUCAUGGGUUCGAGUCCCAUCGUGGGCUUCA
rnacentral:tRNA from 1 species